rnacentral:rRNA from 1 species
UCUUGGAUUAGUUGCGAACGAGUAAUUAACGCGUAGGUAACCUGCCUUGUAGCGGGGGAUAACAAUUUGAAACGAUAGCUAAUACCGCAUAACAAUGGAUGACACAUGUCAUUUAUUUGAAAGGGGCAAUUGCUCCACUACAAGAUGGACCUGCGUUGUAUUAGCUAGUAGGUGAGGUAAUGGCUCACCUAGGCGACGAUACAUAGCCGACCUGAGAGGGUGAUCGGCCACACUGGGACUGAGACACGGCCCAGACUCCUACGGGAGGCAGCAGUAGGGAAUCUUCGGCAAUGGGGGCAACCCUGACCGAGCAACGCCGCGUGAGUGAAGAAGGUUUUCGGAUCGUAAAGCUCUGUUGUAAGUCAAGAACGGGUGUGAGAGUGGAAAGUUCACACUGUGACGGUAGCUUACCAGAAAGGGACGGCUAACUACGUGCCAGCAGCCGCGGUAAUACGUAGGUCCCGAGCGUUGUCCGGAUUUAUUGGGCGUAAAGCGAGCGCAGGCGGUUUGAUAAGUCUGAAGUUAAAGGCUGUGGCUCAACCAUAGUUCGCUUUGGAAACUGUCAAACUUGAGUGCAGAAGGGGAGAGUGGAAUUCCAUGUGUAGCGGUGAAAUGCGUAGAUAUAUGGAGGAACACCGGUGGCGAAAGCGGCUCUCUGGUCUGUAACUGACGCUGAGGCUCGAAAGCGUGGGGAGCGAACAGGAUUAGAUACCCUGGUAGUCCACGCCGUAAACGAUGAGUGCUAGGUGUUGGAUCCUUUCCGGGAUUCAGUGCCGCAGCUAACGCAUUAAGCACUCCGCCUGGGGAGUACGACCGCAAGGUUGAAACUCAAAGGAAUUGACGGGGGCCCGCACAAGCGGUGGAGCAUGUGGUUUAAUUCGAAGCAACGCGAAGAACCUUACCAGGUCUUGACAUCCCGAUGCUAUUUCUAGAGAUAGAAAGUUACUUCGGUACAUCGGUGACAGGUGGUGCAUGGUUGUCGUCAGCUCGUGUCGUGAGAUGUUGGGUUAAGUCCCGCAACGAGCGCAACCCCUAUUGUUAGUUGCCAUCAUUCAGUUGGGCACUCUAGCGAGACUGCCGGUAAUAAACCGGAGGAAGGUGGGGAUGACGUCAAAUCAUCAUGCCCCUUAUGACCUGGGCUACACACGUGCUACAAUGGUUGGUACAACGAGUUGCGAGUCGGUGACGGCGAGCUAAUCUCUUAAAGCCAAUCUCAGUUCGGAUUGUAGGCUGCAACUCGCCUACAUGAAGUCGGAAUCGCUAGUAAUCGCGGAUCAGCACGCCGCGGUGAAUACGUUCCCGGGCCUUGUACACACCGCCCGUCACACCACGAGAGUUUGUAACACCCGAAGUCGGUGAGGUAACCUUUUGGAGCCAGCCGCCUAAGGUGGGACAGAUGAUUGGGGUGAAGUCGUAACAAGGUAGCCGUAUCGGAAGGUGCGGCUGGAUCACCUCCUUUCUAAGGAA